CCAGUGAACUGCCUAAAACACGAACGCUUCUUCGCCUUCCUGGGACUGUGGUCAGCUGGUGUUCGUCGCUUCUUGAGUGGUAAGGGGAAGAGAGAUCUGAUAUAGGUGCCCAUUCUAUAGAUAGACAGACAUCUACUGCGAAGCACCCCUAAAGUGGUAAAGCCUACAUCUAUCUGUCGCGAAGAUGAGCGCCGGGGAGCUUCUUGCUAUUGAACCUUCAGAACUCAUGUUCAAAUUCGAAUUGAAGAAACAGAGCUCUUGUCCGUUGCACUUUGGUCAACAAGACAGACCAUUCUGUAACUUUCAAGGUUAAAACAGCGAGUCCAAAGAAAUAUUGCGUGCGGCCAAAAUACAGGUGUCAUUAUGCCCAGGAACUCUUGCGAUGUUACUGGUAAAAACAGUUCCUAGUUGGCAUAACGUGAGGCACCACCUGGCUUGCGGUGCAAAGACAAGUUCCUUAUUCAGAGCAUGAUUUCAAAUCAUCUGGUGACUGCUAAGGACAUUAUUGCAGAAAUGUUCAAUAAAGAGGCGGGAAAAGUUGUUGACGAGUGCAAAAUGGACGUGGUAUAUCUUUAUCCGCCUCAACCUCCAUCGCCUGUUCCAGAAGAGUCAGAAGAAGGUUCCUCUCCACGGGCUUCUUCUCAGUUAGAUAAUGGAGGCUGCAGUUCCUCUACAUAUGAUUCUGUACCAAAAGCAUCGGAUGAGUCAAAAGAAAAACAUCGAGAGGCAUCUCUCAUUCUGGAGUCGGCUUUCAAUGAUUCCCUGACUCGUGAGCGAGACACCUGGUUGGACGUUGCACAAAGCCUUGCUCAAAAGGUCAGCUCUGGGGAUAUAGUAACUCGAGAUGAUCUCAGUAUGCUGCUAGACCUGUUGCACAAUCCGAGCAGUGAAUUAUAUCUGACAGCCUUGGAGGUCUGAAUGUCACAAGUGGCAGGAUUGAGGUUACCAAGCUAAAUUUGUCAAAUUUUCCCUAUGUUACGGGGAUUCUAUUAAAAGACCCUCUAUGCUCUUGACAUCGUUCACACUGUAUUGAAUAAGAUUUCAAUGUUGGCAAUGGAGAGAACAUCUGCCAGUGAACUAAACCAAAAACUGCGGCAAGAGCUGGAUUUGUUACGGGAGUAACACAGUGGUGGUCAGGAAAGCUUCUCGUUAUUGUUCAUUGUACUGGUUGGCGUCUUGGGCAUCCUGGUGGGGCACCUGGUGAAGACCUAGAAUUAUCUGGCUACAGUCCCACCGUUGCAGUUACGGCAUCUUUACCGUGGAUGUAUAUUGAAGCAAAGUGAACGAGAAGCUGCCAUAUGGGCCAUAUUCUCUUCCCGGUUCUGCUGUUUCACAUGUAUUCUGCUUUCAUCUUUAUGUUGUCCGUCAAUUAGUUGAACAAUUUACCAACUGACAGCACCUCACAAUGUAAAAAAAAGAAAAAGGAAAAAAAAAAAAAGAUCAACCAUUCCCUUAAAUUGCCUCAUGUUACGAGAAUUUACACGGAACUGGCAUUGGUUUUCACAAGGGUUAAACUAUAAGUUGAAGAAGCAGGUAGUUUCGGGAACCUAUUUAUGAUUGGUUUAUUGGUUUACCUUUGUAUACUACAUAAUUUUCAGCAUCAUUUCAUCCAUAUGGCAUGUGAUUUCAGCCUUGCACCCACGAAAUGGAAGUUGGCGGUUACUC